rfam:Gorilla gorilla gorilla genomic chromosome, chr18, whole genome shotgun sequence
GCUGGGUUGUGGUGGCACAGGCCUAUAGUCCCAGCUACUUGAGAGGCUGAGGCAGCAGGAUCUCUUGAGCCCAGGAGCUCUGGGCUGUAGUGCACUAUGCUGGCCAGGUGUCUGUCUGCACUAAGUUUGGCAUGAAUAUGGUGACCUCCCAGGAGAGGGAGGUCAGAAAUGGACGCAGGUCAAAACUCCUGUGCUGGUCAGUGGUGGGGUUGCACCCAUCAUUAGCCACUGCGCUCCAGCCUGGGCAACAGUGAGGCCCUCUU